rnacentral:sRNA from 1 species
CAAUGCAGAUUGUGGAA